GAUGAACGCUGGCGGCGUGCCUAAUACAUGCAAGUCGAGCGAACAGAUGAGGAGCUUGCUCCUCCGACGUUAGCGGCGGACGGGUGAGUAACACGUGGAUAACCUACCUAUAAGACUGGGAUAACUUCGGGAAACCGGAGCUAAUACCGGAUAAUAUAUUGAACCGCAUGGUUCAAUAGUGAAAGACGGUUUUGCUGUCACUUAUAGAUGGAUCCGCGCCGCAUUAGCUAGUUGGUAAGGUAACGGCUUACCAAGGCAACGAUGCGUAGCCGGCCUGAGAGGGUGAUCGGCUACACUGGAACUGAGACACGGUCGAGACUCCUACGGGAGGCAGCAGUAGGGAAUCUUCCGCAAUGGGCGACAGCCUGACGGAGCAACGCCGCGUGAGUGAUGACGGUCUUCGGAUCGUAAAACUCUGUUAUUAGGGAAGAACAAAUGUGUAAGUAACUAUGCACGUCUUGACGGUACCUAAUCAGAAAGCCACGGCUAACUACGUG
rnacentral:rRNA from 1 species